GUGUGUGUGUGUGUGUGUGUGUGUGUGUGUGUGUGUGUGUGUACUCGCAUAGGUCACAUUUAAGGACAUUUUCCUGAGUACACACCAGUUAACUGGGGACCUCUUGGCAAAUGGGGACCAAAAACCACGUCCUCAUUUGUUUAGCUAUACUAUCAUGUUCAGUAUGCUAAAAAACAUCACUGGCCAAAAAAUUUCACGUGUCCCGAAAAAUGACAAAGACCUGAUUUGUGUACCAAAAGUGUGUGUGCCUCCCCCCCAGAGUGUGUAAAACGCAGCGCCCCAACAGGAAUUCAUGUGAACUGCACUUCCUUACUCUACGCACACAUUUUGAUCAGGUGAUCCAAACAAACCAAUGAAAAUCUACUUUUUUGAUGUGGAUGAUCUAAACCAAUGAAAUUUUACUUUUGUACUGGAGGAAGCUUUAGGCUAAUAUUUAGCAUAACGUAAAUAUAUACAGUAUAUUUACACAUUGCUAGCAUGCCCUGGUAAUAUUAUUUCUAUCACGCAGUAAAAGUACAUCAGUAUAUAUAACAGUUUAAUAUAACUGUAGCAUGCCAACCAUAAACAUUCUGAUAAAGUACAAAAAUAAGGAACAGUAUUAGCAAAUUUACCUACGCCGAUUUAUACUUAUUUGUAAUGUUAGCAAUCACUACCAUGUAGUCUUCUUAGCAAACCACAUUCAGAUAAAACAGAAAAUUAAAAGCAACAUAUAGCAAAUAUGACUCUAAUAAUUCCAUGUAACAGGUCACCACGCAUACAUAGUAAGUGUAAGAAAGUAAGAGUAAGAAAAAUAAGGAGCACUAUAUAACAAAUACGACUAUGCUAAUUCCAUACAUCAGGUUGCUAGAACCGCUAACAUGUAGCGUGCUUGGCAAACUACAUUCUGAUAUAUUAUAAAAUAAGGAGCAAUAUAUGGCUAAUAUUAAUAUGCUAAUUCCAUGUAUCAAGCCACUAUAUAUAACGCUAGCAUGUAUUAUGCGUACUAAACAUUCUGAAAGCAAAAUAAAUGUUUAUAAUACUACCUGUUUUAAGUGGAAGUCCUAUAAUUUUAAAUAGUUCUUUCGGCCGUCAUAUAUAUUACAUGUGCAAUAACAAGCGCGGAGGAAUAUUUAUGUCACACUGCGCAGUUAACAAGUGGACUAAGUGGAUUUUGCGGCUAUAAUUUGGAAAGACGUCACUUUCGCGGGGAAACAUCGGAGGAAGGAUUUCGCGCCAACAGAAUGAACUCCAUUAGGAGAAAAAGAUGUCAUCCAUUGCAGGAUGUCAAGUUGCAUAUCAGAUUAAAGUCUGAUAAGGCUGUGAUUGAAGAGCGUUAUAUUAAUGUUUAUAAAGGAAGAGGAGUGUUCAGCACGGUGGACAUUUGCAAAGGAGAUUUUGUAGUAGAAUAUAGGGGUGAACUGUUGUCGGAGAAAGAGAGUUUUGAACGAAAGAAUGGAUAUAGUGAGGCUAAAAGUGUUUUUCUCUAUGAUUUCCAAUGGAAAGGGAAGAACUGGUGUAUAGACGCAUCUCAAGAGGACAAGUCUUUAGGGAGGCUUGUCAAUGAUGAGCACAGGAAUCCAAACUGUCGAAUGAAAGUAGUAGAUGUUGAAGGAAGUCCACAUCUUUGUCUCUUUGCUGUUAGAGACAUUUUGUCAGGAGAAGAGAUUAAUUAUAAUUAUGGAGAUUCAGAUUGGCCUUGGAGAAGACAGGUAUUUAGGUUUCCUCUUUUUUGCUUAUUUUGGCAUUUUUACAACAUUUCAUAUAUUACUGUUUGCAAGAGUUGCUCACAGUGUGAUAAUGGGUUGCAUAGGAACAAAUUCAUUUUACUGUUUUGUUCUAAAUAGCUCUAAAUUAAAACACAGUAAUGCCAUUUUAAAGGUGGCUGUAUCAUCCCCACCAAAAGAGAAAAGUGUCCAGAAUGACAGCCAGAUACCCCAGUUGGAGUCUGGCUACAUAGAGGUGAAUAUAACAUUUUGUUCAGCUGUAUAUUUCGAAUGUUCCUUAGUAUUUGGUAAAACCACUUAAUAAUUAAUGAUUAACACAAACACUUAACACAUUAUCCAGCAUGAAUAAUAUGAGCAUCCUGUUCCAUCAUAUUUAAUAAGGUGCACACUUUAAUCCUAAUUUAUCAGUGUCUCCUCUAUACAUCAGUGACCCAUGUGUGUUUCUGUUCCUUGUCUCAAAGUAUAAUUUUAUCAAUUAUAGGCAA